GAACGCUGGCGGCGUGCUUAAGACAUGCAAGUCGAACGGUAAGGCUUGUCACUCUUCGGAGUGACUCGCACACGAGUGGCGCACGGGUGAGUAACGCGUGGGUAAUCUGCCUUCGGGUUUGGGACAACUCCGGGAAACUGGAGCUAAUACCGAAUAAGACCACGAGGUCCUCGGACCUUGCGGAAAAAGGUGGCCUCUUCUUGAAAGCUAUCGCCUGUUGAUGAGCCCGCGUCCCAUUAGCUUGUUGGUGAGGUAAAAGCUCACCAAGGCAUCGAUGGGUAGCUGGUCUGAGAGGAUGAUCAGCCACACUGGAACUGAGACACGGUCCAGACUCCUACGGGAGGCAGCAGUCGGGAAUCUUGCACAAUGGGCGAAAGCCUGAUGCAGCAACGCCGCGUGAGGGAUGAAGGCCCUCGGGUCGUAAACCUCUGUCGGAAGGGAAGAAAGUAUUUCGGGCCAAUACCCCGGAGUAUCGACGGUACCUUCAAAGGAAGCGCCGGCUAACUCCGUGCCAGCAGCCGCGGUAAUACGGAGGGCGCGAGCGUUAUUCGGAAUCAUUGGGCGUAAAGCGCGUGUAGGCGGCUGGGCAAGUCGGAUGUGAAAGCCCGGGGCUCAACCCCGGAAUUGCAUUCGAAACUGCCCAGCUAGAGUCUCGGAGAGGAGGGCGGAAUUCCCGGUGUAGAGGUGAAAUUCGUAGAUAUCGGGAGGAACACCAGUGGCGAAGGCGGCCCUCUGGACGAUGACUGACGCUGAGACGCGAAAGCGUG
rnacentral:rRNA from 1 species